UGGUUCUGGCAUCGAUGAAGAACGCAGCGAAAUGCGAUAAGUAAUGUGAAUUGCAGAAUUCAGUGAAUCAUCGAAUCUUUGAACGCACAUUGCGCCCUCUGGUAUUCCGGAGGGCAUGCCUGUUCGAGCGUCAUUACAACCCUCAAGCUCUGCUUGGUAUUGAGCAACACCAGCUCUGGUGUGCUCUAAAAUCAGUGGCGGUGCCAUCUGGCUCUAAGCGUAGUACAUCUCUCGCUAUAGAUGCCCGGUGGAUGCUUGCCAACAACCCCAACUUUAAGGUUGACCUCGGAUCAGGUAGGGAUACCCGCUGA
rnacentral:misc_RNA from 1 species